AGAGUUCUAUGUGGGGUUAGGUGUAUUUCCAUGGGCUUGCGUCAAGAGGAAGAUCUCAUGCAACCCAUGAGGGAUGACGUCAAGUGGUGAUCGUCAACAAGAUUGCGGUGUGCUAGCUCAAGUGGAUCAUCACGAAUAUAUCAUGCUUGAAGCUUGCCGUCCAUUGUGGUGGCAAUGGACUUGUGAAAAUAUGCUGAAGAG
rnacentral:lncRNA from 1 species